GACGAACGCUGGCGGCGUGCUUAACACAUGCAAGUCGAACGGCAAGGCCCUGCUUUUGUGGGGUGCUCGUAUGGCGAACGGGUGAGUAACACGUGAGUAACCUGCCCUUUACUUUGGGAUAACUUCAGGAAACUGGGGCCAAUACCGGAGAGGAGUUCCUGCUGCAUGGUGGGGGUAGGAAAGUUUCGGCGGUUGGGGAUGGAUGGGUGGCUUAUCAGCGUGUUGGUGGGGUAGUGGUUUACCAAGUCUUUGACGGGUAGCCGGCCCGCGAGGGUGACCGGCAACCUUACUACUGCGAUACGCCCCAGACUGCAACGGGAGGCAGCGGUGGGAAGUAUUGCGCAAUGGCCGGAAGUGUGAUGCAGCGACGCCGGGAGCGGGAUGACGGCCUACUGGGUAUAAACCGCUGUCGCCUGAAACGUGGCGUGAGUGACGGUAAUGAGUAAAGAAGCACCGGCUAACUACGUG
rnacentral:rRNA from 1 species